CUUCACAGACUUAACUGAUAACUCGUGGAUAGCAAAAUCUUAAAGAUGGAUUAGGUGUCAAUGAAUAUACGUAACGCAAUAGGCUUGACUUUGUAAGAAAAUAGAGCGUCUAGUUGGAAAUAGUUAGUGUUCAUCGAAACGUCGCGUACGGUAGCGCCUUUGUUCGUAAUUGGGGCUUGUUAUAGCGAUACGAUGAAAGUUCGUGGCUGUUCCGAUCCUGCAUUAAACAUGGGUUUCAGUGAGAAUGAUCAAGUCAACUCUCGUCAAAUUCUACCCGAAAGGCUGGCGUGUAACGUUUGCCACUAUAUCGUAUAGGCGUUAGUCUACUGCAGCUGUAACCACGUCUUGUGCAGUGACUGUUAUCUGGCGCCUUCCGCAUUCAGAAACAGUUGAUCUGUUCUCCGUCGAUACGACAAAAAACCGCGCCGUUAAAACCGGUUUAGUGAUCUGUAUAAUUUGCCGAACUACUGUCAUCGCAACACGUAUCGACUUGGACGAAAAAGUUCAUCGCCAGUCUGCCAGCCUCGUGCCCAAAGUGCAAAUCGGUCGUGCGACUCGACGGACCCAAGACUCGUAUGAGCCAGUGUAUGACGAUAUCAAACGCAAGCGAUCUAAAUGACACUACGUGGAGGUUUUCCGGAAAAAAGAAUCUCCUUAGGGCAAAGAGUUUUAGGGCAGCGGGUCCAUCGUGUGCAGCAAAGGCCUCCGUUGCAUCUGCUGUCUCAAAAACCAUUGCAGCUAGUCAAUUCUCACCCUACUAAAUGACUCAAGAGAUGUUUAGCCUGAAUCGAUGGCGGCAGCCAGUCCGAACUGCGCGUCCCCCGUGGCAAUUGAGUGUAAUUCAAACGGCAGAAGUAAUGGCACCUGCCUUAUCGUCACCAGCGUCCAUGAGCGCGUCGGCUCGAGCUACAUCUGAUCAUAGACAAUGGUAUCAAUCUACGUGCGACGAAUCGGUGAUCGAGGAACAGCAGGCUCAAACAGAUCCGUGGCCGUUGUAUAUAUUUCUUCUGAGACAGAAUUCAAAUGCCCCUGAGCUCCUCAGUGGCGACCAGACGGUUUCUGAAGCUGUCAAAGACUCGGACAAUCUGUCGAGUACAAAUCAAGCUCCGAUGUUUAUUAAAUCACCCGUGCGCACUGAGCCGCCCGACGGUUAUCAUCCGUUUUAACCGUAUCGCUUUUUUCGAAUUUUCGAGGCCAACCAUUAUGACGCGCUUCAGGCUUAACAGUCAUUAAACGUCAAAAAAGCCUCCUCUAUAAAUAGCCAAUCAAGUGAGCUGAUAAAAGGUCGCCUUUUUACACAUGUAGUAGUUGUACGGGAUCAAAGCUGUUUUAGGCUUCGAUGCAUACGCGUGUUCGUAAAGCCGCAUUCGAAGCUUGUUUUUGAUUUCAAUCACUGGAACCUUACGACAGGAUCACAAAACAUUAUAGAACACCGAUUACGUGGUUCGAUUUUUAUUCAGUGGUUUUUGUUAGAGGAUCACAGAUGUAAUUGUCUACAAAGAGGCAAGUUGUUUGUUUUUUUUUUUUCACUCAAACAAAAUAAGUUACAGAGGCGGCAGGUUUUGCCCUGUAUCGCUUGCCACAUGUCUAGUCCGAUUAAAUUGACUAUUUUAGAUUAUUGAACUGUUUUUAUAUUCGAUGUAUAAACUGAACAUAGGGAGUGCAUGGUACCAAAGCAAGUCAUCAGUAUUAAUCAGCGUAAAUAUAGUGCAUUGACAUAAGCAGGAUCCAAGAAACACCAUGAUACAACGUAUCUAUGCAAUUAUACUCCACAAUAUACCCACAAAUACUGUUUUUACCUUAUUUUAUAGAACGUUAUAUGUAGUCACGUGCUUUCACCUUACCAUAAUAACGAAAAAUCACUAUACGUUUCUUGGAGGUUGUUUGCUUCGGCAAACCGAGCACUAUUUAUGUGGAAAGUGCUAAACAUGAAGGACAACCACUCAAAUACAACGAUUAUGAUUUAACAAUGAGGUGACGUUAAGAUAUCAUACUAAGUAUAGACGACCUUGUCCCUAUAGAAAUGAAACGCGGAACAUAUGAAAUUUUUCUAUAAAAUGUUUUAUUUGAAAUCAUUCUUUUUUACCUAUCGAAUAUAUGAAUAGAAACAGAAAGAAAAACAACCGUGUCGCUGUGUAAUAAAUAAUGUAUAGCGUUCGAGCAAAAGUUUAAAGCGUUUCUUCAGAUCCAUCCUACGUGCGCAACAAACCUCCAGCUUUAAGCUACCGAUUUAAUCGUUUACUAUUUUUUACGGAUAGACUCUUACCUGCAACAUAUGAUAAUGGAAUAAAAAUUUCAAUUUUGACUUUAAUAGGUGGCACCUAUCAUAUCACUCCGUACCCCCAAAUGUGACUAGUCUAGGAUUAUUUCUGGUUUGUAGAAAACGCAGUUCGGGCGUUCGAUGAGCUUGCUCGAUUACUAUGUAGAUGCUAAAUAUGUGCAACACGUAUUUUAUAAUUAUUUUAUUCACUGUAUUGGUAAACUCUACACGGAGCUCAAGGGGGAAGCUCGACAUCGUUUUCAUCAAAAGAAAAAUUACAAAUUCCACCAGCGUUGUGGAGGCUAAACAAAUAUACUAUAUAGCGAAGCUUCUCGAUUCAAUUCUCUCUCAGAUAGCUAGCCGGUUGGAUAUAUAAACGCUGGUCUGACACUACAGCAGUACUCGAAGCCGCACCAUGGUCUAGACAAAGACUGUGCAAGGAAACAACAGGUUGCAGUUGAGCGUGGCUCAGAGGAGGAGGCUCCGAUGCAGAGGCGCAGGUCCAAGAGUGGCUUGCCUCGACCGUCAAGCUGCGCCCGAUCAGACGCUGCCGUGUCACCCAGCCAAGGAGAACAGCUGGAUUGUGGCGAUUUCGUACUGCUAGUAAGACCUCGAGGAAGAUCGAAAGCGUCGACGCCGUCUAAUUUGGGCAGGCUUCGGGUCCUGAUGAGUUUUUCGUGGGGUGGUCCAGGAGGAGGCUCCGAGAACUUGGCACGAAUUUGACGACCGUGAUUAGGGCCCUACAGCGGCUCCGAGUUCCCAUCCCAGGAAGGCGCGAGCUAGCUCAUUUGUAAUCGCCGCGCAUGUGCCAGACAACUGAUAGCGACAAGAAUUUUCGCUUGUGUGGUGGACGGCUGUCUGCUAGUACUUGAAGAUGGUGGCAUGAAUAAACGCGAGUUUUAAGCGUUAGAA